rnacentral:rRNA from 1 species
CCUACGGGUGGCAGCAGUGGGGAAUAUUGGACAAUGGGGGGAACCCUGAUCCAGCCAUGCCGCGUGUGUGAAGAAGGCCCUCGGGUUGUAAAGCACUUUCAGUGAGGAAGAACGCCUGGUGGUUAAUACCCAUCAGGAAAGACAUCACUCACAGAAGAAGCACCGGCUAACUCCGUGCCAGCAGCCGCGGUAAUACGGAGGGUGCGAGCGUUAAUCGGAAUUACUGGGCGUAAAGCGCGCGUAGGUGGCUUGAUAAGCCGGUUGUGAAAGCCCCGGGCUCAACCUGGGAACGGCAUCCGGAACUGUCAAGCUAGAGUGCAGGAGAGGAAGGUAGAAUUCCCGGUGUAGCGGUGAAAUGCGUAGAGAUCGGGAGGAAUACCAGUGGCGAAGGCGGCCUUCUGGACUGAAACUGACACUGAGGUGCGAAAGCGUGGGUAGCAAACAGGAUUAGAUACCCCAGUAGUC